ACUUUCAUGACCCUUUAAUCUUCAAAGCUUGAUUUCUUCUGAACUAAAACUCAAAUCAAAACUCCGAUUUCACCAAAAUGACCCUCUCUUCUUCCUCUACAUAACCAUGUGACUUAUCAAGGCUGGAAAUAAGAAUCAUGCUUAACUUGACUUGAGGGCCAAGAAACGUGAAUUUCCAGCAACUCUAAGGAGGAAAAAGUGCUAAAGGACCACCUGAAAGUCUAACCGAAUUAGGAGCAG